AACGUGAGUAAAUAAAAUCAAAAACAUAUAAUACGAUCUCUAUACUUUGUUUCCCACGCUAGAUGGCGUAGAGUUCUUUACAUUUUCUGCCUAUGGUCAUGAAGUACACCAGCCAUAAGUUUUUAGUAAUGGGUACAACAGUAGUACCAUGAAGUAUAACCAACAGUGGUGACGUCUACAGAACAACAUGAACUACGCAUUUUCAGCUCCAGAAAUGGCAUUUCAAAUCGCGAAUACGCACCGGUAUUCUGAUAAAGGGAUACUGGACUGCAGCUAGCAGUAAAUUUGGGUGUGUUAGCCUUAUUUAAAAACAGUUGAAUUAAAGUGGUUUAAUACCUAAAUGAUUUCCUGUUUUGGAUUUGUGAUUGUUAUUCGUGCAAAGGUGUCUUCAUAAGAAAUUGGAAUGAACUAUAUUCAUCCCCAACUUUUACCUAUUUUUUCCAGCUUGGUGUUGAAACAAUAAUGGAUCUUAACCUGAUAUUCCAAUUGUUUUAAUGUUGAGAAUACACUAGGUGUUAUCAAGAGGCAAAGUGCUUGUGCAAGGUAAAUGUACAGUUACCAAACACAAUAGUUCUGUGCUGUACUAAAAUCUUGGUCAAUGCUACUGACAUGAUGUAAAGUCAUGUAGUGUGAUAUACCAGAUCUGUUGUGCAUGAUUUCCCUGGCUGGACCUUGCUACUUCAGUUAGAUGAAAUGGGCCUGGUUCAGAAAUUAACAAGUGUUUUGUAUUGAAUCAUCUUGUAACAUUUUACUUUUAUUUGAAAGUAAAAUCAAGUAAGUUGUUCUAAACAUGACCUUUAUAGUGCCGGAUAGACAUAUUUACAGCAUAUUUGGGGAUUUACAAGCUAUUUACCAUUUUAAGGUUUCUAUGCUGAAAUUCACAUUUCUUUUGCACAACUAGACAAUUCACGAAUGGAGUUCCUGUUAUUUACCAUUUGUUACGUUGCGGCAUUUUUCCGGAUACCCUACAGUAAUGCACAUCCUUACGAAAUGACCAACGUGAUGUGGUAUGUUGUAUUAGGAAUGUUAGAACCAGAAAAUUUAACAUUGGGAGCUUGUCUUUUAAGAAGAAGCCGUAGAUUCAGUUCCAGUUGGCGAACUGUGAAAUUAUUCGGGUUGUGGGUCAACAUGAAACUGCACUAGGCAGAUUGGUAAUGAAAAACUUCCGAGUCCCACGCCUAUCUCUUUAUGCAGCAGGGGUUUCUUGGGAGCUGUGCUGAAUCAGAUGGUUCCCGCCGAUGCUGCUGCUACUGCUGACAUUACAACCUCGAUUGUACCAAGAUGUCGAAGGAUUCCUGUUUCCCAGAUGAUUGGAAUCUAUCGUAAAUGCUGAAGCUCCCAUUGUUUGCCUUAAGGGAAACCUUAUGAACCUUUGCUUAAAGUAAGGCGAUCUGAAUGCAGUCGUAAUACAGUACGUAAGUAUAUUGCAGCAAAAUGUGGCGGUUUUCCCUAUGCUUUGUUUGCCAAACCUGACACAUUUCACUGCAACCUCCUGUACAUGAAGUUGUAUCGCAAGUCAAAUGUAGGUAUGGCAAUAUGGCAUUC